GUGGGUAUAGCUCAGUGGUAGAGCGUGUGCUUAGCAUGCGUGAGGUCCAGGGUUCAAUCCCCAGUACCUCCA
rnacentral:tRNA from 1 species